CGCACAAGCAGCACAGAUAGGAAACAAACAUCUCCCCACAUCCCGCCUCCAGCCGCCACAACCGGCCCAAUCAUCGCACGAAAAUCAUGCCGCACCCUGCCCCUUAUCCUCGCUUGGGGAAGCCGCAGACUCAGGACGGCUGGAGCUACCAAUCCGUCCGCGAGAUCAGCGAGGAGAUUGGUCGCGGCUGCUUCGGCGUCGUCCGCUGCUGCACUGGAGGACGAGGCGUUGAUGCACAUGGUGACGGUCUAAUGGACCUCUGCACCGGCCCGGACCUGUCGACUGGGUUCGCCUCCGCCACGGCGCUCCCGUACCGGAGCCGGAUGUCGCCGCUGUUGCCGCACUGCUCGCCGAGGCCCUCGAGAUCUUCCACCGCUGAGACGCCGUCGACACACCAGGGACACGGGAGGGCAGCCAGCCCAGUAGAAUCCCACCUUCUAACCCUAAUUACCAGCGCUCUCUCUCUCUAUCCGCUAGAUUGAACAGGUCACGGGGUUGGAUCGAGCGACCGCACGAGCUGCCGGUGCCGCAGCUGCGUGGAUUCCAGUCACCGCAAGCCUGGAGCCGAACCGCCUGAAAGAAAAUGACGAACCGAAAUGGGACAUGGCAUCUCUAGAGCGUACCACAAGGACUUGGGAAGAGGCAUGGAUGCUACAAAUAGAGCAGUGUGUUUAUCUCAUUUCACCCAAUCAAUUCUUCUUUGUCUUUAUUGUAUGCCAUUUUAUUAAUUAUUUGUAUAUAUCUGCUGUAUCGAUGUACUGAUGUUAACAGAAAUUGUCGUAUCCA